AUUACCGAGUUUACAACUCCCAAACCCCUGUGAACAUACCAAUUGUUGCCUCGGCGGAUCAGCCCGCUCCCGGUAAAACGGGACGGCCCGCCAGAGGACCCCUAAACUCUGUUUCUAUAUGUAACUUCUGAGUAAAACCAUAAAUAAAUCAAAACUUUCAACAACGGAUCUCUUGGUUCUGGCAUCGAUGAAGAACGCAGCAAAAUGCGAUAAGUAAUGUGAAUUGCAGAAUUCAGUGAAUCAUCGAAUCUUUGAACGCACAUUGCGCCCGCCAGUAUUCUGGCGGGCAUGCCUGUUCGAGCGUCAUUUCAACCCUCAAGCCCAGCUUGGUGUUGGGACUCGCGAGUCAAAUCGCGUUCCCCAAAUUGAUUGGCGGUCACGUCGAGCUUCCAUAGCGUAGUAGUAAAACCCUCGUUACUGGUAAUCGUCGCGGCCACGCCGUUAAACCCCAACUUCUGAAUGUUGACCUCGGAUCAGGUAGGAAUACCCGCUGAACUUAAGCAUAUCAAUAAGCGGAGGAAAAGAAACCAACAGGGAUUGCCCUAGUAACGGCGAGUGAAGCGGCAACAGCUCAAAUUUGAAAUCUGGCUCUCGGGCCCGAGUUGUAAUUUGUAGAGGAUACUUUUGAUGCGGUGCCUUCCGAGUUCCCUGGAACGGGACGCCAUAGAGGGUGAGAGCCCCGUCUGGUUGGAUGCCAAAUCUCUGUAAAGUUCCUUCGACGAGUCGAGUAGUUUGGGAAUGCUGCUCUAAAUGGGAGGUAUAUGUCUUCUAAAGCUAAAUACCGGCCAGAGACCGAUAGCGCACAAGUAGAGUGAUCGAAAGAUGAAAAGCACUUUGAAAAGAGAGUUAAAAAGUACGUGAAAUUGUUGAAAGGGAAGCGUUUAUGACCAGACUUGGGCUUGGUUGAUCAUCUGGGGUUCUCCCCAGUGCACUCUUCCAGUCCAGGCCAGCAUCAGUUUUCGCCGGGGGAUAAAGACUUCGGGAAUGUGGCUCUCUUCGGGGAGUGUUAUAGCCCGUUGUGUAAUACCCUGGCGGGACUGA
rnacentral:rRNA from 1 species